rnacentral:rRNA from 1 species
GUUGAACGCUAGCGGGGUGCUUUACACAUGCAAGUCGAACGAGUGGCGGACGGGUGAAUAAUGUAUCGGAACGUGCCCAGUAGCGGGGGAUAACUACUCGAAAGAGAGGCUAAUACGGCAUACUAUUGGAGCGAGCGAUAUCGGAUUAGCUAUGUGGUGGGGGAAAGGCGCACAAAGGCAACGAUCCGUAGCUGGUUUGAGAGGAGGACCAGGCACACUGGGACUGAGACACGGCCCAGACUCCUACGGGAGGCCGGAGGGGGGAAUUUUGGACAAUGGGGGAAACCCUGAUCCAGCCAUCCCGCGUGUAGGAGAAGGCCUUCGGGUUGUAAAGUACUUUUGGCAGAGAAGCGGUAUCUGCAGAAUAAGCACCGGCUAACUACGUGCCAGCCGCCGCGGUAAUUC